rnacentral:rRNA from 1 species
UACGUAGGGUGCAAGCGUUAAUCGGAAUUACUGGGCGUAAAGCGUGCGCAGGCGGUUAUGCAAGACAGAUGUGAAAUCCCCGGGCUUAACCUGGGAACUGCAUUUGUGACUGCAUAGCUGGGAGUGCGGCAGAGGGGGAUGGAAUUCCGCGUGUAGCAGUGAAAUGCGUAGAGAUGUGGAGGAACACCCGAUGGCGAAGGCAGCCCCCUGGGUCGAUACUGACGCUCGAUGCACGAAAGCGUGGGGAGCAAACAGG